rnacentral:rRNA from 1 species
AUUAAAACUUUCAACAACGGAUCUCUUGGCUCUGGCAUCGAUGAAGAACGCAGCGAAAUGCGAUAAGUAAUGUGAAUUGCAGAAUUCAGUGAAUCAUCGAAUCUUUGAACGCACAUUGCGCCCGCCAGUAUUCUGGCGGGCAUGCCUGUUCGAGCG